GCCAGCAGCGGUCUGGGCGAGGCAGCGUCGAUGGCCUCGAUGAGCGGCAAGAGUUCGAAACGCAUCUGCCGGCG
rnacentral:tRNA from 1 species